AGGUUAAGCUACAAAGGGCGCAUGGCGAAUGCCUUGGCACUAGGAGCCGAAGAAGGACGCGUUAAGCUGCGAUAAGCUUUGGGUAGGCGCAAAUAGCCUGUGAUCCAAAGAUUUCCGAAUGGGGGAACCCACAUAGUAACAACUAUGUACUGCAUACUGAAUAAAUAGGUAUGCAGAGGUAGACCCGGGGAACUGAAACAUCUAAGUACCCGGAGGAAGAGAAAGAAACAUCGAUUUCCUAAGUAGCGGCGAGCGAAAGGGAAAGAGCCCAAACCUAGGUCUUUGACCUAGGGGUUGAGGAUAGAUCAUAAAUACUGCAAUUCCUUAAUUGAAGAUAGCUGGAAAGCUGCUCCGCAGAAGGUAAUAGGCCUGUAAAUGAAAAGGAAAAACAGUCAGAUCUAAUCCAGAGUACCACGAGACACGUGAAACCUUGUGGGAAGCAGGGAGGACCACCUCCCAAGGCUAAAUACUACCUAGUGACCGAUAGUGAAGAAGUACCGUGAGGGAAAGGUGAAAAGAACCCCGGAAGGGGAGUGAAAUAGAACCUGAAACCGUGUGCCUACAACCGGUCGGAGCACUUUAUAUGUGUGACGGCGUGCUUUUUGUAGAACGAGCCAACGAGUUACGAUAUGUAGCRAGGUUAAGUACUUAAGGUACGGAGCCGAAGGGAAACCAAGUCUGAAUAGGGCGUAUAGUUGCAUGUCGUAGACCCGAAACCGGGUGACCUAUCCAUGGCCAGGAUGAAGCGGAAGUAAAAUUCCGUGGAGGUCCGAACCACGUUGGUGUUGAAAAACCAUGGGAUGAGCUGUGGAUAGCGGAGAAAUUCCAAUCGAACUCGGAGAUAGCUGGUUCUCCUCGAAAUAGCUUUAGGGCUAGCGUCGAUUAAUUGAGUAAUGGAGGUAGAGCACUGAAUGAGCUAGGGGCUGACAACAGUUACUGAACUCUAUCAAACUCCGAAUGCCAUAUACUUUUAUUUCGGCAGUCAGACUGCGAAUGAUAAGAUCCGUAGUCAAAAGGGAAACAGCCCAGACCAUCAGCUAAGGUCCCAAAGUGUAAGUUAAGUGGAAAAGGAUGUGGGAUUUCUAAGACAACUAGGAUGUUGGCUCAGAAGCAGCCACUCAUUCAAAGAGUGCGUAAUAGCUCACUAGUCAAGAGAUCCUGCGCCGAAGAUGUCCGGGGCUAAAACUUACCACCGAAGCUAUGGGUGUACACUAUGUGUACGCGGUAGAGGAGCUUUCUGUACUGGCUGAAGUCAUACCGUAAGGAGUGGUGGACGGUACAGAAGUGAGAAUGUUGGCAUAAGUAGCGAGAGUUAAGUGAGAAUCUUAACGGUCGAAAACCUAAGGUUUCCUGAGGAAGGCUCGUCCUCUCAGGGUUAGUCGGGACCUAAGCCGAGGCCGAAAGGCGUAGGUGAUGGACAAUCGGUUGAUAUUCCGAUACCACCAAUGGACGUUAUUAGAAAUGGGAUGACGCAGGAGGAUAAGAUGUGCAYACUAUUGGAUGURUGUCUAAGCAUUUAGGCGGAGCAAGYAGGCAAAUCCGUUUGCUCUUAACGCUGAGAUGUGAUGGGGAAGGGAAUUUAUUCCUGAAGUAUCUGAUUCCACGCUGCCAAGAAAAGUCUCUAUCGAGGAUAUUGGUGCCCGUACCGCAAACCGACACAGGUAGGUGAGGAGAGAAUCCUAAGACCAUCGGAAGAAUUGCUGUUAAGGAACUCGGCAAAUUGACCCCGUAACUUCGGGAGAAGGGGUGCCUACGAAAGUAGGUCGCAGAGAAUAGGCCCUAUGAACUUAAGCCCCAGUAAACGGCGGCCGUAACUAUAACGGUCCUAAGGUAGCGAAAUUCCUUGUCGGGUAAGUUCCGACCCGCACGAAUGGCGUAAUGAUUUGGGCACUGUCUCAACAGCACAUCCGGCGAAAUUGUAGUGCCAGUGAAGAUGCUGGCUACCCGCGAUUGGACGGAAAGACCCCGUAGAGCUUUACUGUAGCUUAGCAUUGAAUUUCGGUAUUGUCUGUACAGGAUAGGUGGGAGACUGAGAAACAUGGGCGUCAGCCUGUGUGGAGUCAUCCUUGGGAUACCACCCUGACAGUACUGAGGUUCUAACUGGAGGCCAUGAAUCUGGUCACAGGACAUUGUUAGGUGGGCAGUUUGACUGGGGCGGUCGCCUCCAAAAAAGUAACGGAGGCGCUCAAAGGUUCCCUCAGCGCGGUUGGAAAUCGCGCGAAGAGUGCAAAGGCAGAAGGGAGCCUGACUGCGACACCUACAAGUGGAGCAGGGACGAAAGUCGGACUUAGUGAUCCGGUGGUACCUCGUGGGAGGGCCAUCGCUCAACGGAUAAAAGCUACCUCGGGGAUAACAGGCUGAUCUCCCCCAAGAGUCCACAUCGACGGGGAGGUUUGGCACCUCGAUGUCGGCUCGUCGCAUCCUGGGGCUGAAGUAGGUCCCAAGGGUUGGGCUGUUCGCCCAUUAAAGCGGCACGCGAGCUGGGUUCAGAACGUCGUGAGACAGUUCGGUCCCUAUCCGUCGCGGGCGUAGGAAAUUUGAAGGGAGCUGUCCUUAGUACGAGAGGACCGGGAUGGACAAACCUCUGGUGCACCAGUUGUCACGCCAGUGGCAUCGCUGGGUAGCUAUGUUUGGAAGGGAUAAACGCUGAAAGCAUCUAAGCGUGAAGCCCACCCUGAGAUGAGAUUUCCCAUAAC
rnacentral:rRNA from 1 species